GCUGGGCAUGGUAGCACAUGCCUGUAGUCCCAGCUACUUGGGAGGCUGAGGCAGGAGGCUUGCUUGAGCACAGGUGUUUGAGAUUGCUGUGUGCGAUGAUGCCAUAGUACUCUAGCCUGGGCAAAAGAGCAGGACUCUGUCUCAA
rnacentral:SRP_RNA from 1 species